AUGACGCAGGCGACUGCUAGAUCCAGAAUCCUGGCGGCGGCAGGGGAACUGGAUGCUGCGGGGACGGCAAGGGAACCGGAGGUUUGGGCGGCGGCGAGCAUCGUCGGCGACGGCGCCAAGCUACAUGACCCCCCUCUAGUUGCGGCGGCGGACGAGAGUUUCAUGUCGGAGGAAGAAGUAAUGGAGUCUGAUACUGCAUUCAGUCAACGCUUUGCAGCAAAACGCUUGCGUGAAGUUGCGAAUACAAAGCUCAAUGAUAGGAAGAGGGAAUACAUAAAUGAAACUGGCUUUGGUGAUCUCACGAGCAUCUCCCCUUUCACAAUACCACAUGAUCUGAUGGAGUGGAUAACUAUGAAUAUCGACACUGACACUCAUGAGCUGAGGCUGAGUCGGAAUAAGGUCAUUGUGUUCACUAGAGACAUGGUGAAGAAGGUUUUCAACAUCCCAUCAGGCAACAAACCAGUUGAGCUUUUCAAGAGACACCAUCAUUGCGAGCUCCGCAACAUUUAUCACAAGAAUGGCAGGGCUCCAAUUGCGCAUACAGUGGAUGUGCUUCAUUGGGCAGGGGACCAUGAUGGAAAUACUACAAAGAGGUCAUGGGUGCUCUUAGCGCUUGCAACAGUUUUAACUCCAAGCACUGGCAACAUGGUGCCCCUAGAGUACUUGAAAAGCCUCGAAGAUAUGGACAAGGUUAUUUACAUGGACCAUUUGAUAUUUCCUCAAGCUGCCAUCAACGAGCACAAAUUAAACUAUUCUCUCCCAAGGGCUUGCUUUGUGCAUCAGACUGAUUUUGAUAUUGUGUUGGAAUAUGAUAGGAACAAGCUUUCUUUGGGCAAACCAUCAUUCGGGAAGUGUCGGUUUCGCCCUUUGUCAGAGACACCUUAUGCAGCAUUGCUUGCCCAAGGACAUGAAGGAAACAACAGUGAAGUUGCUCAAGAUCAGCAUGUUUCGGACAACCCAGAUUGCAGUGAUACUCAAGAUCGUGGGGAUGAAAAUAUCAACAUUGAUGAUAACCAGGAUGACAUGGCUGCGAAACAGAAUCCUACAGAAGGUAGCAAUCCAACAGAAGAUGGCAAAAGCACCGAUGGAGAUGUGUGUGGUUCACUAGAUGAUUGGCUUCAGAACCCAACACCAUUUGGGGCAGAGCUCGAGCUACCAUCAAAUCUGGCUGCAAUCUACGACAAGCACACAAAACUUUUUUCUUCGGAGUUAAAAGGUGCUCUUAGCUCUUUUGGGCAAGUGUUGCAAGCAAUGCAUUGCAAGCGAAUGGGGCACCUACUCAAAGAUGUGCACGCUGCUUCGCCAAGCUCUCAGGAAGCAGCGGAUGUUAGUUUUCAUGUGCCACCCCCUCGCAGCAAUGAUGUAGACAAGUCAGAUCAUCAUGGAUGUACCAAAGAAACUUCUAGCAGGAAGGCUGCAGAUGAGCCAACAACACACAAGGUGGUUGAGUCUGCUGAAGGAGCUCGAAGCAAUCAUGCAAACAACAAUGCUCAUGAGUGUAAUGGCAGCAAUGUGGUUAAGAAGGGCACACGAACUAGUCCUGUUGUUAUUGACCCCCCUGCAGAGUGUUUUGAGAAUGCAAAGGAUAAAGUGGCUAGUUGUGAAGAUAUUGAGCAUGGUCACCAACUCAGCCAGCGCAAUCAAUACAUACAUACUACUGUGGCUGGAGAUUGGAGUGAUGCGCCAUCGAUGUGUCUGUUCCAAGAGGGCACCGAGGAGUAUGAUUGGUGGAUUAGUGUCCAAAGUCAAGAUGGGAACUCCAAUGCUCCACCCAAUGGCAAUGGAAACACUGCUACAACACCAAAGUCUUGUCCUGUUUUUGAUGUGACUCCUCGGGCUCCAAUCUCAACAGAAGCACAAGCUCCAGUGUUUGAUGUGACACCAAUCUCCAUGGCUCCAUUCUCGAGCGGGGCUGCAGAUGGACCAUUGAAAACACAAGGAGAGCCAGUUGUUCUAGUUAGCAGCAGGGAACCAAGUCCGGACCUCAACAAGGAGAAGUUGAAGAGUAAGGACGAGAACAAGCUCAAGAGCAAGAAAAGAGUAGGGAGUCCAAUGUCAGCCGGAUCAAAGUACAAGAAAAUCAAGACAGAUUCAAAGAUGGAAGCAAUGUACCAGUACUAUGUCAUGAAGAGGUACAAGAUGGAGAAGAUGAAGAGAGGGGAAAUUGAGCCUCCUUUCAUUAGGAUUGGUGAUUUCCACAUUACCUACCCCAACUUCCAGAAGUCGUUGAAGCCACGUGCUCAGAUUUGCAACGAAGUCAUGUCUUUAUUCAUCGAAACCUUCAACAUUGAACAGUUGUCGUCUUCAAAGAAGCAGAAGAAAUUUGCUUUCUCUGUUUUAAUGAGUCUUCAACUCUCUGUCCACCCAGAAGUUUUUGAUCCGAGUGUUUGUGCAAGAGAGCUGAGGAAGGCGUGCCAAAAUUUUCAGAUUUCAGGUUUCGACCUACUUUUCUUCACCAUCGUCCGUGAUGGCCACUGGAUUGUCUGUGUGGUUAACCUCUUGCACAAGGAGUUCAAUAUGUUUGACUCUUUGGAUGACGGGAAAUUGGACGUUGCUGCAAGGAAUCUGUUUAUCAAUUUCAAGAGGAUUGCUACCGAAGAGUCGGAUUUCACAGCGGAUCUAUCUUCUUUCAAAACAGACUGGCCUGUGCUUGACUACCCACAACAAUCAACUCACUUUGAUUGUGGAUUGUUUUCAACAAUGUACCUUGAAAAUUUUGAUGGCCAAAUGAUGAAUGAUUUCAAGAAGCAAAAUAUGCUUGAUGUGCGGAAGACCAUUGCUUCGAAGUUGUUUUUCCAUCCUUUGAACAAGGUUUUCCCUGCUGAUGUGCAUAAGGCGAUCAUAGCGGCUUGA
rnacentral:rRNA from 1 species